AUUGAACGCUGGCGGCAGGCCUAACACAUGCAAGUCGAGCGAGCGGCGGACGGGUGAGUAAUGUAUGGGGACUGCCCGAUAGAGGGGGAUAACUACUGGAAACGGUGGCUAAUACCGCAUCCUGUCGGCUCACCCAUACGGGAUUAGCUAGUAGGUAAGGUAAUGGCUUACCUAGGCGACGAUCACUAGCUGGUCUUAGAGGAUGAUCAGCCACAGUGGGACUGAGACACGGCCCAGACUCCUACGGAGGUAGCAGGGGGGAAUAGUGCACAAUGGGCGCAAGCCUGAUGCAGCCAUGCCGCGUGUAUGAAGAAGGCCCUAGGGUUGUAAAGUACUGUCAGUCGGGAGGCGUUACCGACAGAAGAAGCACCGGCUAACUCCGUGCCAGCAGCCGCGGUAAUUC
rnacentral:rRNA from 1 species